AAAAAGAAAGCUUUGUUUGGAAGUACCUCAUUGUUAGUGGGGAGACGGGAUAUUUUGUUUGAUUUCUCUUUUUG
rnacentral:tRNA from 1 species